rnacentral:rRNA from 1 species
GUGUGUUUGCAUGCUAGGCACUGUGGUGUUAAAGCUUGUACCUGGGAUCGUGUCCCUACCCGAAGUCUAAAUCCGAUUGUGGCUUUGGAUUCAUUCCAUAGCGGGUGAAAGUCCCGUGCGGGUAGGACUAUUGCAAAUCCACACGGUCCUCAGAUGUGCAUGCUUUCGAGUCGGAUUGCUUGAGAAUGCAGUCCAAAGUGGGUGGUAAACUCCAUCCAAGGCUAAAUACUGGCACGAGUCCGAUAGUAGACAAGUACCGUGAGGGAAAGUUGAAAAGUACUCUGAAGAGAGAGUAAAUAGUACGUGAAGCCGAUUGCAGGGAAGCUGGUGGAGUCAAGCUUCGUGCUUGAGGGAUUGAUGCUGGGAGCAGGUGUGUGUAUUGGAUGCGGGGCUGGACAACUUGGAAUAAGUUGGGCGUGUUCUGAAUGCGCUUCAAGUCAUUCCGGGCAGAGUGUUAUGAGCCAGCCUCGCUUUCCUACUCUCAGUGUUGUAUUCCUCGCUGCACAGGCCACAGUCAAUGGUUGCAUGCGGUAUGAAGGCCUAACUGUGCUUCGGCGGGCGCAAGCUCUCCGGGUGCAGGAUGGCAGGUGCUGUCUUCAGGCCUUGUGUCUGUUGAUAGUUGUUGUGGUUUUGACCG